rnacentral:rRNA from 1 species
UACAGAGGGGGCAAGCGUUGUUCGGAAUUAUUGGGCGUAAAGGGCGCGUAGGCGGCUGUAUAAGUCUGACGUGAAAUCCCUCGGCCUAACCGGGGAACUGCGUUUGAUACUGUCCAGCUCGAGUCCGGGAGAGGGUAGUGGAAUUCCCAGUGUAGCGGUGAAAUGCGUAGAUAUUGGGAGGAACACCGGUGGCGAAGGCGGCUACCUGGACCGGUACUGACGCUGAGGCGCGAAAGCUAGGGUAGCAAACAGG